rnacentral:lncRNA from 1 species
AGGUUCCCGCGGGCCCCGGUCGGCGAACAGCUCUGCAAGGACCGCCGCAGGCCACAAGUGCACGGGGUGCCAGGAGCUCCCCGUCCCCGGCCCCCAGCCCGGGCUGAAACAGCAACGGUUUGCCCGGGCCCUCCCCCUUCCCUCUUCCCCAGCAAAUCUACCCAGACCGGAAGCGCGACACGCGCUUAGACCCGAGCCUUCUCUCAGCCUCGGGACCAGGUGCUUGUUGGCUACGUCGAAAAGGCAAAAGUAAAGAAAGCGAAGGCGAAGGGCAGCUCAAUGGGAACGAUUCAGGGGGUCUUCCCGGCUCCCAGCACCCCCAAGAAGAUGGCUGCCGGUAAAUCUCGCGAGAAUUGAUGAAGUCUCGCGGUGGCUCCCGGAGCCUGCUGGGAGAGACGUAAGGAGGAAAAGACCGCUGACUUCAGAAACAGCGGGAACCCCAGCUCGUCCCCGAUGACAAAAUUGGGGUCUGGACGUGUGCAAGGACUUUUCCAAAGUCAGCUGGAAAGGAGCUGCUUAGCUGAGAGGUUCUGGCUCCAGAGUCUCCUGUGAAGUUGCAGUCAAGAUGUCUGCUGGGACCCCAGUCAUUUGAAGCCCUGUCUGGGGCAGGAGAAUCUAGGUCCAAAAUGGCCGUUGCAGGAGUCCUUAUCCACACCAUGUGGGACCUCUUCAUAGAUGUUCGAGUGUCCUCAUGGCAUGGCCACUGGCUUUCCCCAAAACAAUCAACAAAACUGAAAAAGCCCAGCCUUGUAGCAUUUGCCAGUUAUUGUGUAAAUGUCCCCACUAUGGUGGAUUUCAGGUUACCACUAUGAUAUCACAGAAUGCAGAAUUGGAAGGAGAUUCACAGCAGCACCCCAUUAUACUAUAUUUUCACCAUACAGAUGCAGUCGAUGUAAAUUACCUGAGGAGCAUAAAUAAUAAUAAAAUGAAGUUAAAUAAUUCGGAAAUGAUUUUGAAAAUUGUGUUGGUUUUUAAUGUAAGUUUAUAUGUCAGCUUUAAUAAAAUCUGUCUUUAACAACUAGCUUGAAGAAUUCUUGAAAAAUUAAUAAUCAGCUCUCAUAGGCUAGUGACAACUGGCUUCAGUGCACCCCUGACUAGAAACACCUUUGCUUUCCACCACAUGUGGAAUUCCCAGUAUUUCAACAAUCAGAAUUGAGCUUAUGAGCCAACCAAGAAAAAUAACAUCUUAUAUAAGAGACAGCAAUUUGAGAGAGGAAUAUCAGUCAGAAGAAACAAGGGGAAAGUCGAACUUGUAAAAGAGAGAUGAAAAUUUGAAUUUUUUUAAAGGCAUCCUUAAGCAUAUUUAAGUACAACACAAAAAGUUAAAGAAUUUAGUAGAUAAAUAGAAAGAUGAGAUGAUUACCACUGAGACACAGAUCAAUGAUCUGGAAGAUAAAAACAAAUCAUAAAAAUAAAAGUAUCUUGAAAUUUUGCAAAGUACAUCAUAAAUCAAUGCAUCAGAGAUUAUGUGUCAUGACAAAAAAAUUUAUACUCAGAAUGAUAUGUCACUGCUUACUAUGCAAAUAUUUUCUAUUUCUCCUAGCUUCAAACUAUGCAUAUGGGCCAGGCGCGGUAGCUCAUGCCUGUAAUCCCAACACUUUGGAAGGUCAAGGUGGGCAGAUCAUUUGAGGCCAGGAGUUUGAGACCAGCCUGGCCAACAUGGUGAAACUCCGUCUCUACUAAAAAAUACAAAAUAAUUAGCUGGGUGUCGUGGAGCAUACCUGUAAUCCCAGCUGCUCCGGAGGCUGAGGCACGAGAAUCGUCUGAACCCAGGUGAUUCUGCACUCUACUUGGGCUCUGUCUCAAAACAACAACAACAGCAACAACAAAAACUGUGGUAUUUUUAAUGAACUAAAUAUUAAUCUGCUAACACAGCAUAGGUUUUAUGAUUACUGCAAUUCAAAAGUCAUAAUAAAUUUUAAAACAAAUCCUCCUGUACCUGUUGUGGUGCAUGCAGAAACUUUUCCUGUUCAACACACUUAUAUGGCACUAUAUAGGGAUAUACCAAAUAGCUCAGGUACAUAGUGAAUACAACUUUAACACUUAUAUUGAAAUGCUAAUCUUACUUGCCAAUAUUAGUGGCACAUUAGCAUAAUUUAACUUUUAUAAAAUUAUGGAAAACAGUUUAAAAUUAUUCUCCCUAAUAUUAGCAAAUUGCAUUAAUGGCAUGUACCGUGUGCCAGUUUGUUUCCAAAUAAACAAAAUGUACCUUGAUAUGCCACUUCAGAGCCAGCAGAGGGAGCUCAUACUUUUUUAUUGUUUUCAACUUACUGAAGAAAAUUUGCUUUUAAAAGCUACUGUGUUAUAACCAAUGAGAACCAAGAAAAAGGAAAAAAAAAAAAAAGCUACUGGAUUCUGAAAAAUAAUGUAGUUGUUAUUUAAAUAAUAAAAAUGUAUUAGUAAACAAAAAAGUCAUACUUUAGGUUGAAAUAAUAAAUCAAUUCUAAAUAAAAAGAUAUUAAUGAUAUUUUAUGUAAAAAUGUCAAUUAAAACUACAUAAUUUCAAGGUUUUUUUUUUCUUUUUCUUUUAUUAUAAUUUUUUUAGAGACAAGAGUGUCGCUCUGUCACCCAGGCUGGAGUGCAGUGAUGUGAUCAUAGCUCACUGCAACCUCAAACUCCUGGGGUAAAGCAAUCCUCCUGCCUUAGCUUUCUAAGCAGCUAGGACUACAGAUGCAUUCCACUAUGCCUGGCUAAUUUUAAAAUUUUUUUGUAGAGACAGGGUCUUGCUAUGUUGCCCAGACUAGUCUCAAACUCCUGGCUUCAAACAAUCCUCCCACCUCAGUCUCCUGAGUUGGGGUUACAUGUGUGAGCCACUGCACUCAUCUGCACUCAGCUAUUCAAUUUAUUUUUCUAAUAGCCUUUACUAAAAAAAAGAAAUGUUUGUAACAGAGAUUUCUGGGGUAAACUAAAAUGGAAACCUUCCAGCUACAAGCAUAAAACGUAACAGAUAAAAAAUGACAAAUAUGACACACUUCAAAUUUAAUUCUUACACAUGAAAUUAAACACAUAAUUUAAAUACAUUCCCAUUCACUCAAUUCUCAGCCCUUCCAAAGACACAGAUAAAUGCCAUUAUUAGUUUCUUCUUCUUUUUUUUUUUCUUUUUUUAUUUUUUGAGACAGAGUUUUGCUCUUGUUGCUCAAGCUGGAGUGUAAUGGUGCAAUUUAGGCUUACUGCAGCCUCCAUCUCCUGGUUCAAGUGAUUCUCCUGCCUCAGCCUCCCGAGUAGCUGGGAUAACAGGUGUGCAUCACCAUGCCCAGCUAAUUUUUUGUAUUUUUAGUAGAAAUGGGGUUUCACCAUGUUAGCCAGGCUGGUCUCAAACUCCUGACCUCAAGUGAUCCACCCGCCUUGGCCUCCCAAAGUGCUGGGAUUACAGGCGUGAGCCACCACAUCCGGCCCAUUAUUGGUUUCUUAUGUAUCCUUUCAGAAUUUCUUUAUGAAUAUACAGACAUAUAUGAACAUAAAAUCUUAUUCUAAUCGAAUUUUUCUUAUGCAAAAACAGCAUAUCAUAUACACUAUUCUGUAUCCUGCUCUUUUUACUAAUAUAUAUUGGAAACAUUCGCGUAAGUCUAUAGUAGAGACCUUACUCCUUUUUUUUAGGCAUGUGUAGUGUAUAGCAGACAGAUUGUAAGAAUAUAUAAUAAUUGAUCUAUUCCCACUUAAUAAAUUUUUUUAGUUGUUUCCAUUUUCAAUUACAGAAAAUUCUCCAAUAAUGAACUUGUAUAUAUUUGCCAUUUUCUACAUGUGAAGUCUAUGUGUCUGAAGGAUAAAGUCCCAAAAGUGGGAUUGCUAGGUAAAAGGACAUAAGCAUUUGUAAUAAUGAUGGAUAUUGCCAAAUUACUUACUAUGAAAAUUAUAGCUACUUAUACUCCCUCAGGAGCAAUAUGUCUAUUUCCUCACGAUAUUGCCAACUGAGUCUUAUCUAACUUUUGAUGUUUGCCAGUCUGAUAGAUGAAAAAUGUGUCCUCUAAGUAUAAUGUACUAUUCUUAUUAUGAGUGAGUUGAACAUCUUUUGAAUAUGUCAAAGCCAUUUGUAUUUCCUUUCUGUUAACUUUCUGCUCAUAGUUUCUGCUCACUUUUGGGAUCCUUUCCUUGUUAAUUUGUAGAAGGCCUUUAUUGAGUAGGGAGAUUAGCCCUUUGUGAUAUGUGUUGCCACUUUGUUAAGUCAUUUGUCUUAUGUUUUUUAUUUGACAUGCAGAAGUUUUCAUAUAUACGUAGCCAAAUUUAUCAAUUUUGUUUAAUGCCUUUUAGAUUUGGGGUCAUAGAAAAGCCAUCCCCACCCCCAUAUUAUAAAGAACUCUCCCAUGUUUUCUUCUAGUAUUUUCUUGUUUUAUUAAAUUUUCAUUGAAAUAUUUAGAUUUGGACUUUAUUCACAAAUAAAGUACAGUGUGAGUUAAGGAUCCAAUUCUGUUUUUCCAAAUGGUUACCAAAAUGUUCCAGUACCACCUAUGUCAAAUAGUAAGUUUUCUUAUGCUUCUGAUUCUAUUUCUGUAGUUUUUACUGUAAUCAUUGGUGCUUAUAUAAUUUGUUUUAUUGCUCUGUAAUUCUGGGCCUUCUUCAUUGCUCUUCCUUUUCAGAGCUUUCCUGGCUAUUUGGCUGUUUAUUUUUCCAUAUAAGUUUUAGGAUCACACUGUGUACUGAAAACAAAGUUGAUAUUUGUUACUUGCUUUUUAUUAGUAUUUUAAAUAAAAUUUGUAAAAGUGUAUAUAUAUAUAAAAUACUAAUUCUUUUCGAUUUUUAAAUGUCUUUCAGAGGCAAUUUACAGUUGUUUAUAUACAUAUAUUGCAUUCUUUUUAGUUUUAUCUUUUUUGUUGCUAUUAUAAAUUGGAUUUUUAAAAUUACAUAUUAUAUUGUAAUAUGUAUAUAAGAAAGCUCUUUAUUUUCUACCUCACUACCCUACUGAAUUUUUCUAUUCUUAUCUUGGAUUUUCUAUGUACUAAUAGUAAUACUAAUAGUCAUAGUUUUAAAUUCUUUCCAAUUUUGUACCUCAAAUUUAUUUCUCUUGUAUUAUUUAUUUUUUCAGUAGCUAGAGUACAAUAAUAAUUAUAGCGAUGAGAGUUGGCAGACUUGUCUUGUCCCUGGCUUUAAUGAGAAAUGAUUGUAAAGUUUGAUCAUAAUUAUGAUGCUAACUUUUGGUCAGGGAUAAGUAUAAUUUUCAUUUUAAGGAAAUAUCAAUGGAUUUAUAUUUCAUUAAAAUUUUUUAAAUAAUAAGUAGUUGUUGAAUUUUGUCAAAUGCCUGUUCACCAUCUGUGGAAGUCAUUAUAUGAUUCAGGAUUAUAUGAUUUUUCAUUGUAUAUGUAUUAAUAUUAUAUGUACUAAUAAAGAUCUGUGAAAGUUGUCAGAAU